rnacentral:rRNA from 1 species
AGUUGCCAGCGGUUCGGCCGGGCACUCUAACGGGACUGCCCGCGAAAGCGGGAGGAAGAGGGGACGACGUCUGGUCAGCAUGGCCCUUACGGCCUGGGCGACACACGUGCUACAAUGCCCACUACAAAGCGAUGCCACCCGGCAACGGGGAGCUAAUCGCAAAAAGGUGGGCCCAGUUCGGAUUGGGUCUGCAACCCGACCCCAUGAAGCCGGAAUCGCUAGUAAUCGCGGAUCAGCCAUGCCGCGGUGAAUACGUUCCCGGGCCUU